UACGUAGGCAGCGAGCGUUGUUCGGAAUUACUGGGCGUAAAGAGUGUGUAGGCGGUGCUCUAAGUUCGGUGUGAAAUCUCCCGGCUUAACUGGGAGGGUGCGCCGGAAACUGGAGUGCUCGAGCGUGGGAGAGGAAAGCGGAAUUCCUGGUGUAGCGGUGAAAUGCGUAGAGAUGACAUAGAACACCCAUUGCGAAGGCAGCUUACUACGGAUUGAUUGACACUGAGGCACGAAAGCGUGGGGAUCAAACAGG
rnacentral:rRNA from 1 species